GUUAAUUAUUUGUGGUUGGUUUUGUUUGUUUUGAAAUGGUUUUUAAUUGUUGCUUCUUUACGUUUAGUUUUAUAUAGUUAGAAAAUGGCGCACACUUUGCUGCGGCGGCUGCUGCUGCUGCAGUUUACUCUCCUGCAAAGGGUGUACUUUUAAAUAUUAGGGUAUAUGUGUUUAUCUGUGUGGGUGUGUGUGUGUAUGUGUGUGUGUGUGUCUAUGUGUGUCGGUGUGUGUGGGUGUGUGUUGUUGCCACUUGCUGCUUUUGACCAAGUCAAAGCYAAGUGCAUG